UCCCCCUAAUGUUCUUGAUCUCUAUGUGCAGUUUGGAAAUAUGCAGCCACAAAUUAUGAAUGUGGGCCUGAAGAAAUUAUGAGUCAGUGUGGUAGGCAGAAUAAUGUCUUCCCAAAGCAGUCCACAUCUAACCCCUGGGAUAUGUGACUAUAUUAUCCUGCAUGGCAGAAGGGACUUUGCAGCUAUGAUUCAGUCAGAAGAUGGGACCAUGGAAAAUGGUCAGAGAGAUGCAACACUGCUGGCUUUGAAGAUGAAGGAGGGGUCUAUGAGCCAAGGAAUGCAGGAGGCUUCCAGAAGCUGGAAAAGGAAAUAAAACCAUUCUCCUCUAGAGCCUCCAGAAGGAACGCAGCCCUGCCAACAUCUUGAUUUUAACCCAGCGAGACCCACGUCGGACUUGAGAGGCAUGGUAAACCAGAUGUGCUAUAGUUGCGGCUCUGCCUCUGUUUUCCACUCUUCUCUCAACUUUUCCUUCCUCCACAUGGAAAUGACCUCAGGAAGACGAUCCCCCGUGGUAGCAAGGUGGUGAUCAGCAGUGACUGGACAAUAAACUUUCUAGUUCACAUCCAUGGUUCCACAUCGUUCAAGCAGGUCGAGUUGGUUUCCUUUCUCUAUUACUUGCUGCCAAAAAUAUUCUACUAGCCACACGCAAGUCCCUCCUGCCUACUCUUUUCUUUCCUGGUACCUGACUGGCUCCUGCAGGCCAUUCCGUUCAUGAA